rnacentral:rRNA from 1 species
GACAUACACCGGAAAGCAUUAGAGAUAGUGCCCCCCUUGUGGUCGGUGUACAGGUGGUGCCUACGAGCUCUUUACGCCCAAUAAUUCCGGACAACGCUCGCGCCCUACGUAUUACCGCGGCACGUGCUACAAUGGCCGGUACAAUGAGCUGCGAUACCGUGAGGUGGAGCGAAUCUCAAAAAGCCGGUCUCAGUUCGGAUUGGGGUCUGCAACUCGACCCCAUGAAGUCGGAGUCGCUAGUAAUCGCAGAUCAGCUAUUGCUGCGGUGAAUACGUUCCCGGGCCUUGUACACACCGCCCG